rnacentral:rRNA from 1 species
AUUGAACGCUGGCGGCAGGCCUAACACAUGCAAGUCGAGCGAGCGGCGGACGGGUGAGUAAUGUCUGGGAAACUGCCUGAUGGAGGGGGAUAACUACUGGACACGGUAGCUAAUACCGCAUACCAUCAGAUGUGCCCAGAUGGGAUUAGCUGUUGGGUGAGGUAUCGGCUCACCUCGGCGAGGAUCCCUAGCUGGUCUGAGAGGAUGACCAGCCACACUGGAACUGAGACACGGUCCAGACUCCUACGGGAGGCAGCAGUGGGGAAUAUUGCACAAUGGGCGCAAGCCUGAUGCAGCCAUGCCGCGUGUAUGAAGAAGGCCUUCGGGUUGUAAAGUACUUUCAGCGGGGAGGCGUUACCCGCAGAAGAAGCACCGGCUAACUCCGUGCCAGCAGCCGCGGUAAUUC